UCCCAUCUUGGGUUUUGGGGAGCUGCUUUUCUGCCACAUUUCCCUCAGGCCUGUGGUGUUUGGAUUGUGGGAAUGAAGGUGAUGCUGUGGAUGGGCACCUCUGACAUGAU
ensembl:miRNA gga-mir-6627 gga-mir-6627